rnacentral:rRNA from 1 species
GACGAACGCUGGCGGCGUGCCUAAUACAUGCAAGUCGAGCGAGCGGAACUAACAGAUUUACUUCGGUAAUGACGUUAGGAAAGCGAGCGGCGGAUGGGUGAGUAACACGUGGGGAACCUGCCCCAUAGUCUGGGAUACCACUUGGAAACAGGUGCUAAUACCGGAUAAGAAAGCAGAUCGCAUGAUCAGCUUUUAAAAGGCGGCGUAAGCUGUCGCUAUGGGAUGGCCCCGCGGUGCAUUAGCUAGUUGGUAAGGUAAAGGCUUACCAAGGCGAUGAUGCAUAGCCGGAUUGAGAGACUGAUCGGCCACAUUGGGAAUGAGACAAGGCCCAAACUCCUAAGGGAGGCAGCAGUAGGGAAUCUUCCACAAUGGACGCAAGUCUGAUGGAGCAACGCCGCGUGAGUGAAGAAGGUUUUCGGAUCGUAAAGCUCUGUUGUUGGUGAAGAAGGAUAGAGGUAGUAACUGGCCUUUAUUUGACGGUAAUCAACCAGAAAGUCACGGCUAACUACGUG